GAUUAAGAAAACCGCAGUGAUUGAUGCUCCUGGUGAGGAGCUGCUGAGUGCAAUAGGUCUAUCAAUUGGAGUUGUUGCUGCCAUAUUAUUUCUAUUUCUUGUGUAUUUUGUCUAUAGAAAAUGUCAAGAUUCAAACCAGAGGCUUCAGCCAGUAGAGAACGAUGAAGACUCAGCUGACAGAAAUGCUCCUGUUGCCUCACCAGAAGGUGAUGUUUCUGAGGA